UGGGGAAUUUUGGACAAUGGGCGCAAGCCUGAUCCAGCCAUGCCGCGUGCGGGAAGAAGGCCUUCGGGUUGUAAACCGCUUUUGUCAGGGAAGAAAUCUUCUGAGUUAAUACCUCGGGAGGAUGACGGUACCUGAAGAAUAAGCACCGGCUAACUACGUGCCAGCAGCCGCGGUAAUACGUAGGGUGCAAGCGUUAAUCGGAAUUACUGGGCGUAAAGCGUGCGCAGGCGGUUUUGUAAGACAGAGGUGAAAUCCCCGGGCUCAACCUGGGAACUGCCUUUGUGACUGCAAGGCUUGAGUGCGGCAGAGGGGGAUGGAAUUCCGCGUGUAGCAGUGAAAUGCGUAGAUAUGCGGAGGAACACCGAUGGCGAAGGCAAUCCCCUGGGCCUGCACUGACGCUCAUGCACGAAAGCGUGGGGAGCAAACAGGAUUAGAUACCCUGGUAGUCCACGCCCUAAACGAUGUCAACUGGUUGUUGGGAGGGUUCCUUCUCAGUAACGUAGCUAACGCGUGAAGUUGACCGCCUGGGGAGU
rnacentral:rRNA from 1 species